rnacentral:rRNA from 1 species
ACUUAAAGGAUUUGGCGGUACUCAAGUCUAGUUAGGGGAACCUGCUCUAUAAACGAUAUGCCACGUAUUAUCUUUCUUCCUUUUGUUUCUCGGUCUGUAUACCGCCAUUAUUAGGUGAUUUUGAUAAAUAUAUACUGAAAUAGGGGCAUCCCUAAAAUAUUAGGUCAAGGUGCAGCUUAUAGGGAAGUUGAAGUGGGUUACAUUUUAAUUUAUAAGGUCGAAUAUUUUAUUUAUAGUAUUUUUGAAGAUGGACUUAAUUGUAAUUAUGUUUUAACAUGGCAUUAUGAUAUUAGCUCUAGGGUAUGU